CCAGGAAAAACCUAAACCUGUUUUUCCCAACAAAACUAAAUCCUCGUUUAAUCAGUUCCAUCGCAAAACACUUAGAAUCUGAUAAUCACAUUUCAUAUAUUGGAUGGCUAAGAUUGUCAUAUUGAAGUCCUUGAGCACCAUGGUAAUCCAAGGUAGGGCCUAAUUAGUGGAAUGUUCCUAAUCAUACUGAAUCGACGAUCAAUAUCACUUGAUUGGUGUAACAAAAGUCAGUCCAGUAACUUUUUUUAUUUUGUAACUGGGUCAUGGGAAAAAUGGUUCAAACGGUUGGUACAAACAUUAAACCUUCAAAGCAUUUAAGCCAUAUCUACCAAAAGGUAGUUUAUGGAGACACUUUAAGGGUGUGUUUGAAGUAAGUUUGCAUUGAGUAGCAUGGUCAUUGGAUCAAAUGGAAAGUGAUGAGCUCAUUUCUUCAUAAUGAACAAAAGAGCUCACUUGCCAUUUGGAGCCACUUUCAUGUACUUCCUGCAUUCCGGUCAAUGUGAAACAAGUUUCCACACUUUUAAAAAAAAAAAAAAAACUAUUAUUAAUGUUUCCUCUAUUCGCUUUUUUUUUUUUUUGUGGAGUAUCUCCAGAUUCCAUUUGGCAAAGAAUGAUAAGAAUAUGCGAUAUGGGUUUUUUCAUUCUUUCCUAGAUUCUCUUUUAUGGUAUUGUGAUUAUUGAAUCUUUCUUGGGUAUGUUUGGCUGUUUCUGUUUUUUAUUUAAUUCUGUUUCAUUUGGGUUUGAUUUUGUAUUGAUCAUAGAUCAAAUGUUAUCUUCCACUGCUUCAACCAAGUCAAGAUGAGAGGAGCCGAUGGUGCAUUGCCAACUGUUGAGGCCAGGCAUCGGUCGGCGGGACUGCCGUAAGCAUCUUUCUUAUAUUUUUUCACGUUUGAUCUUUCUCCUAAUUUUGUGCCAUUUAGAGCCCAACUGUACUAGAAGAUGGUUGAUGCUGAGGAUAUUCAACCUCUUGUGUGCGAUAAUGGAACUGGAAUGGUUAAGGCGGGUUGCACCGGGAGAGGUGGUCGAGAAGACUGUUGAGAAGAGGCAGAAGAGGAUGAUCAAGAACAAGGAGUCUGCUGCUCGAUCAGGGGCCAGGAAGCAGGCGAUGUUUCGAGCCAUAGGGAUUGGGUCCUCUCGGUCCCUUCCAUUGGCUACUGCAUUGAAUUGGGUGCUGAAGGAUGGGCUUGGACUGCUUAGCCGAUGCAUAUACACUGCUAGCCUUGGAUCUGCAUUCGAUGCCAACUUGAAGAGGGUAAGGUUCUCAAUAUCAAUCUUAUUCAGCUUGAGCAUUGGAGUUGAGUUGCUGACUCCAAUGUUUCCCCAGUAUUUUUUGCUUCUUGCAACUAUAGCCAACAUUUUGAAAUCAAUUAGUCUGGCUGCCUACCUAGCAACCGGUGAAGAAGCCUCCUACGAACAAGAAGCUAUCUAUCAGUAUGAGGAUGAGGAGGAUGACGAUCUGGAUGAUGAAGCUUACUUUGGCAGCUCCUCAAGCUUUCAUAUUGGUAACCGUAGGUAUUUUAUACCUCUUUAGUAUAUUUGUUUAUUCCUAGUGAGAUUUUUGUUUGUUGAUACUAGCACUCUUUCUAGCAUUCAAUCGCUGCAUGCUUGUGCCACAUGUACAAUGUUUAUGUGCAUGCAUACAGGUUGAUAUAUUCUGCUAGCAUCCAGAAACUGACUAUUGGAUUAAAGAACAUUUUCCCCCACUGAAGAUUUGUACCAUUCUUUACGGAUAUCACAAUGAUAUUGAUGUUCCUGUCUUAUUGCAAAGUAGCAAUGAAGAUGCUUUCAGACAAUCGAACAAGCUGUAGUUGUUCAUCAGCCAAGCAAAAGUCAUACCCCGUUGUGACUUUGUAUUAUUUGUGGAACCUAAUAUUGUGUAACAGUUUGAUUGAGUUUGUUUUGAAAACUUUAAAUAGAC